rnacentral:rRNA from 1 species
CAAUAGCGUAUAUUAAAGUUGUUGCAGUUAAAAAGCUCGUAGUUGGAUUUCUGGUUGAAGCGACCGGUCGGGCGUUGAUUCGUCUGCACUGGAGUCGGUUUUGGCCAUCCUCUAGGAAAGUGCGUCUGGUAUUAAGUUAUCGGGCGUAUGAUCCUGGUCUUUUACUGUGAAAAAAUUAAAGUGUUUAAAGCAGGCCUUCGCCUUGAAUACAUUAGCAUGGAAUAAUAAGAUAGGACUUUGGUCUAUUUUGUUGGUUUGCAGACCGAAGUAAUGAUUAAUAGGGAUAGUUGGGGGUAUUUAUAUUCCGAUGUCAGAGGUGAAAUUCUUAGAUUUUCGGAAGAUAAACUUAUGCGAAAGCAUUUACCAAGGAUGUUUUCAUUAA